rnacentral:piRNA from 2 species
UGGAAAUCAGUCUGGCGGUUCCUCA